UGGGGGAUAUUGCACAAUGGGCGAAAGCCUGAUGCAGCGACGCCGCGUGGGGGAUGAAGGCUUUCGGGUUGUAAACCUCUUUCGCUAUCGAACAAGGCCCGCUUAGGGUGGGUUGAGGGUAGGUGGAGAAGAAGCGCCGGCUAACUACGUGCCAGCAGCCGCGGUAAUACGUAGGGCGCGAGCGUUGUCCGGAAUUAUUGGGCGUAAAGGGCUUGUAGGCGGCUUGUUGCGCCUGCUGUGAAAACGCGGGGCUUAACUUCGCGCGUGCAGUGGGUACGGGCAGGCUUGAGUGUGGUAGGGGUGACUGGAAUUCCAGGUGUAGCGGUGGAAUGCGCAGAUAUCUGGAGGAACACCGAUGGCGAAGGCAGGUCACUGGGCCAUUAUUGACGCUGAGGAGCGAAAGCAUGGGUAGCGAACAGG
rnacentral:rRNA from 1 species